GGGGCUAGGGUCGCGGAGGCGGAAGUGACUCGGCGGGGCUCGGAAGCAUGGGCUUUGGCGUUGCCUAGGGUUCACUGGGGCGAGCGAUAAGGUAAUGUGGAAUUUUUAUUUUCUUUUAGCAAGCAAUCCUUGCGUUGGCAUCACAGGCUCAGUCUUGCGUUGUCCUGUGUGUCUGAAAAUCCUGCCUAACUGUUGGCUGUUUAGCUUUCUAUUAAACCAAUGAGAACGACACAUCUUCACAGUGUACAAAAGGAUUACUCCACGACAGAAGAGUCCUUUACAGUGAGUCUGGGAUAGAAUAAGUACAGUUGAAGUGUAUGUCUGCCAUAACUGCAGCAGAUUCUGGCCAGGGCUUUCUCGCAGCUCCUAGAGACGGACCUCAGCCGUGCAUCAUGUGGCCCUCUGAAAGCAUGGAGCUUAUUGCUCCGAAGCCAACAGGAGAGCUUCUCCCAAUUCUGCUACUACUGCUGUUGCAGCUGCUUACAACAGCUAUUAUUGUUGCUAGAGUCUUAUAUUCAAUGUGACAUCAUAGGCGAAAUGAUUCUAUUCUGUUUGCUGUACUACAUAACCUAAUAAAAGAAGGGACAUCCCGUUAUACUAAGUGCGUCAGGAAUCUUAAGAGCCAUUUUUAGGUCUCACUAGCCAUGGUUCUUGAAUGGGUAACUGCUGUCAGCACAUGAAAUCCUUCUUAAACAGGUUGUCUGCCUUUUUUUGACAUUCUUUUGGGAACAGCCACUAAUUUAUUAGUGUACUUAAAAAGUAUGAAUUUCCAAUGUGAAUCUACAUCGACACUCAUGUCUCACAGACUUCAAAGGGACAUCUCUGAGCAUGUUUUGUCAUACUGAGUUUUCCUUACAAUUUAAAAUAAAUGUACUCUAAGAAAUGAUUAAACA